UACCGGAAACGGUAGCUAAUACCAGAUAAUUUCUUUUUUCUCCUGAAGGAAGAAUGAAAGACGGAGCAAUCUGUCACUGAGGGAUGGGCCUGCGGCGCAUUAGCUAGUUGGUGGGGUAACGGCCCACCAAGGCGACGAUGCGUAGCCGACCUGAGAGGGUGAACGGCCACACUGGGACUGAGACACGGCCCAGACUCCUACGGGAGGCAGCAGUAGGGAAUCUUCCGCAAUGGACGAAAGUCUGACGGAGCAACGCCGCGUGAGUGAUGAAGGUUUUCGGAUCGUAAAGCUCUGUUGCCAGGGAAGAACGUCCGGUAGAGUAACUGCUAUCGGAGUGACGGUACCUGAGAAGAAAGCCCCGGCUAACUACGUGCCAGCAGC
rnacentral:rRNA from 1 species